CGAGCCCGGAAGAGCGCCGUAGGUGAGGUCGCCAGCUAGCCGGAGCCGGCAACGUACAGCCCGGCAGGUCGCGCAGCCGCUCCCGGGCCGGGGAAUGGAAGGCAGAUACCCUGAGGCAGUAUCGAGGUCGGGGAAAACUCAUUUUGCAUCCAAAACAAGCCUAUCUUGAUCUGGUGAUAUUGCCGGGGCGGCUCCUCCGGACCCUGGCGCCUACGGGUCCAAAUACACCGAAGUCUAUACCGAAAAGAGAAAUCACUCUGAAGAUUACAGUCCAAACCUCUACUGUGGAUGUAGAAUGGAAUCUCCACCCAAGAAGGUGCAGCUGUUCAAUGUCAACCCUCCAGAGGUGAGAAAACAGGUCAGCAUCUGACCCAGGCCAGGCCAAAUAAAAUCCUUUCCCAGGUUUUAAAAAAUUGGACCAAAGGUAAGACUUUUAAUUGCUUUGUGGG